UACGUAGGUGGCAAGCGUUGUCCGGAUUUAUUGGGCGUAAAGCGAGCGCAGGCGGUUCUUUAAGUCUGAUGUGAAAGCCCCCGGCUCAACCGGGGAGGGUCAUUGGAAACUGGAGAACUUGAGUGCAGAAGAGGAGAGUGGAAUUCCACGUGUAGCGGUGAAAUGCGUAGAUAUAUGGAGGAACACCGGUGGCGAAAGCGGCUCUCUGGACUGUAACUGACACUGAGGCUCGAAAGCGUGGGUAGCAAACAGG
rnacentral:rRNA from 1 species